rnacentral:rRNA from 1 species
AGUGAACGCUGGCGGUAGGCCUAACACAUGCAAGUCGAACGGCAGCACAGUAAGAGCUUGCUCUUACGGGUGGCGAGUGGCGGACGGGUGAGGAAUACAUCGGAAUCUACUUUUUCGUGGGGGAUAACGUAGGGAAACUUACUCUAAUACCGCAUACGACCUACGGGUGAAAGCAGUGGAUCUUCGCACCUUGCGCGAUUGAACGAGCCGAUGUCGGAUUAGCUAGUUGGCGGGGUAAAGGCCCACCAAGGCGACGAUCCGUAGCUGGUCUGAGAGGAUGAUCAGCCACACUGGAACUGAGACACGGUCCAGACUCCUACGGGAGGCAGCAGUGGGGAAUAUUGGACAAUGGGCGCAAGCCUGAUCCAGCCAUACCGCGUGGGUGAAGAAGGCCUUCGGGUUGUAAAGCCCUUUUGUUGGGAAAGAAAAGCAGCAGGUUAAUACCCCGCUGUUCUGACGGUACCCAAAGAAUAAGCACCGGCUAACUUCGUG